GGUCAUAGCUCAGUAGUAGAGCAUCAGUUUUGCAUAUAGAAGGUCCUGGGUUCAAAUCCCAGCAUCUCCA